UAUAAUUUAAAAGUUGAUACAAAACUGCCUUAUGUGCAGUUUAAAUGUUUAUAUACAACUCAGUUUUUAUUUGAGUGUUGAUGAUGAAAAAAAAAUGAUGAUUAAAUAAACUAUUUUCACUUAAAUGUAAACUUUAAUUUCGAUGUUUUGGUGAAAACGUUCACUUUGUCAGACUUUAUGUGGACAUCUGUCUUGUGGCAACACUCACUCACACACACUCACACUCUCUCUCUCUCUCUCUCUCUCUCUCUCUGAAUCACUGCAGCCAGAGAAAACAAUAAAACAGACACAAGAUUCAGUGAGCAAUACUUUGUUUUGAAUAUUUCACUGACUCUACUUUAUGAAUCCAUGUACAUGUUUAACGCUGAUGAUUAUGUGGUUUCAUAACUCAAAUAGCUCAUAACUCAUUUCAUAACACAACAUUUAGUAGUAUCAGGACAUUCGUGUUUGAGGCAGUGGACGCAUCACAUAUGGAGCGCAUGCGGCGGUCAGAGUCAGCGAGUGUUUGCUGAGUUCUGCGAGACACUCCCUCUCACAGCUGUGACACACACACACACACACGCACACACACACACGGAGCCAUUAUGAACCCACUGACCUCCUCCGCGGGACAUCUUCGGUGCCUUUAGAGACGGCUGAUUUUUAUGGAAGCUUCUUUUUGCGAUGGAAAACAUUUUUAAAAAAGAAACGGGCUUCCAUACAGAUGUCGCCGCGCUGCUCUCAGAGCCGAUCAGAUGUUGGGCUUCUCAGUGCUGGCAGGAGCUGAGCUGUAAUUAGAGUCAGUUCUGCUGGCGCGUGUCUCAGGAUUGGACAGAUGAGGCAGACGUGCCCCCAGGCCAGAGCGAAGCUCCUCAAACAAUCGCCUGAGCGACUGCAGCCAAGCCCUGAUGGCCAUAAACAAGAUUGUGGAGCCAUUCGUCUCCACCUCCUGCAGGUCCGUCGAGAGAUCUGCGCUCCAAACAAAUCGCUCGUCCUCUUCACUGAAGCUCGGCUCCAGCGUCUUCUGUGUUUCUUCACCUCGGGCCGGGCGAGAUCAGCUUUAUUCUGCUUCCUUCUGAAAUGCUUUCAGAUGCUUUCAUCUGCUGCCCGAGGCUACAUCCUCACAACACACAAACGCAAAACUAGUCUGAACUAUCAGUGUUGUGAAACUCCAGCACAUUAA
rnacentral:lncRNA from 12 species